UACAGAGGUCUCAAGCGUUGUCCGGAAUCAUUGGGCGUAAAGCGCGCGUAGGCGGUCAGGUAAGUCCGGUGUGAAAGUCAAAGGCUCAACCUUUGAAUGCCGCUGGAUACUGCCUGACUUGAGUCCGGAAGGGGCGAGUGGAAUUCCUGGUGUAGCGGUGAAAUGCGCAGAUAUCAGGAGGAACACCAAUGGCGAAGGCAGCUCGCUGGAACGGUACUGACGCUGAGGCGCGAAAGCGUGGGGAGCGAACAGG
rnacentral:rRNA from 1 species